rnacentral:pre_miRNA from 1 species
AGCUGGAUAGCUGGGUCAAAUGGUGGUUCCAUUCCACGUUUUCUAAGGAAUCUCCAUACUGCUUUCCAGAUUGGUUAAACCAAUUUGCAAUCCCACCAACAAU